GUAAAGGCUUACCUAGGCGACGAUCAGUAGCCGGCCUGAGAGGGUGGACGGCCACAUUGGGACUGAGACACGGCCCAAACUCCUACGGGAGGCAGCAGUGGGGAAUAUUGCACAAUGGGGGAAACCCUGAUGCAGCGACGCCGCGUGAAGGAAGAAGGCUUUCGGGUCGUAAACUUCUAUCAGCAGGGAAGAAAAUGACGGUACCUGACUAAGAAGCCCCGGCUAACUACGUGCCAGCAGCCGCGGUAAUACGUAGGGGGCAAGCGUUAUCCGGAAUCACUGGGUGUAAAGGGUGCGUAGGCGGCGAGGUAAGUCAGAUGUGAAAGCCCAGGGCUCAACUUUGGGACUGCAUUUGAAACUACCUUGCUAGAGUACAGGAGAGGAAAGUGGAAUUCCUAGUGUAGCGGUGAAAUGCGUAGAUAUUAGGAGGAACACCAGUGGCGAAGGCGGCUUUCUGGACUGUAACUGACGCUGAGGCACGAAAGCGUGGGGAGCGAACAGGAUUAGAUACCCUGGUAGUCCACGCCGUAAACGAUGUCUACUAGUCGUUGGGAAUCUUAGUAUUCUUGGUGACGAAGUUAACGCGAUAAGUAGACCGCCUGGGGAGUUACGGCCGCAAGGUUAAAACU
rnacentral:rRNA from 1 species